rnacentral:rRNA from 1 species
CCUACGGGCCGCACCAGUGGGGAAUAUUGCACAAUGGGCGCAAGCCUGAUGCAGCCAUGCCGCGUGUGUGAAGAAGGUCUUCGGAUUGUAAAGCACUUUCAGCGGGGAGGAAGGCGAUAAGGUUAAUAACCUUGUCGAUUGACGUUACCCGCAGAAGAAGCACCGGCUAACUCCGUGCCAGCAGCCGCGGUAAUACAGAGGGUGCAAGCGUUAAUCGGAAUUACUGGGCGUAAAGCGCACGCAGGCGGUCUGUCAAGUUGGAUGUGAAAUCCCCGGGCUCAACCUGGGAACUGCAUUCGAAACUGGCAGGCUAGAGUCUUGUAGAGGGGGGUAGAAUUCCAGGUGUAGCGGUGAAAUGCGUAGAGAUCUGGAGGAAUACCGGUGGCGAAGGCGGCCCCCUGGACAAAGACUGACGCUGAGGCGCGAAAGCGUGGGGAGCAAACAGGAUUAGAUACCCGGGUAGUC